rnacentral:rRNA from 1 species
AGCGUAGACGGAUGGACAAGUCUGAUGUGAAAGGCUGGGGCUCAACCCCGGGGACUGCAUUGGAAACUGCCCGUCUUGAGUGCCGGAGAGGUAAGCGGAAUUCCUAGUGUAGCGGUGAAAUGCGUAGAUAUUAGGAGGAACACCAGUGGCGAAGGCGGCUUACUGGACGGUAACUGACGUUGAGGCUCGAAAGCGUGGGGGGCAAACA